AAAGUCGUAACAAGGUUUCCGUAGGUGAACCUGCGGAAGGAUCAUCUGUGAAUAUGGGUGAAAAGAGUUUUGAGCACUUGUUUUUUGCUGCCUUUUUGUGGGGCAGUUGCUUGGUACCUUUUUUGGGUAGUGGGCGACCACUUUCCUUUGGGGGAGUGGUAUAAUAUGUCUGGGCAGCCUUUGGGUUUCCAAUAUUUUGGGGGCCUGAUAGACCCAGACAAUCCCGGGUGAAAACCUAAUGUGAACCUCAGAAUUUGAGGGAAAGCUUUAGGCACACGUGGGAUGAUCACAGGUCUUUUCUCUACUCGAAAAGUAGAAACAUAUAACAACUUUCAACAAUGGAUCUCUUGGCUCUC
rnacentral:misc_RNA from 1 species